UACUAUCUGCAAUCAGUAAGUCUAGAAUGGUGCUAAAGAGUAGUUAGAUAACAAGCAAAAAUCUAAUAAGUUCAUAAUCUCCUUCUUGAAUCAAUAAAAACUUUAUGUUUUGAAAAUAUGUAAUUAAAAAUUCAUGAAUAAACUAAUGUCAGUGAGUAACUCCCUCAGACUUAAAUUUCACUGUCCUCAGUGAUAUUCAGUCGAAGAUUGGUUGGUUAGAGAAUGAAUAAUAAGUACUAAGUUGGAUGUUAGACAAGGGAAAAUAAUGUUCGUACCCCUCUGUCUCGAGUGUCGAUCGAUCUACACAACACUUUCUCGAUCAAUAUAAACACAACACCUUCGAUCGAC
rnacentral:lncRNA from 1 species